UGAAGAAACUAUGCCGACGAGAGAAUUGGUUAUCUUGGACGCUCACGACCUGGAGAUCGAUCGAUGUACGCAGUCGACUCCACGACGGCCGGCGGUCGCUGACGGCCGCCGCCAUCGGCCGCCGACGACAUCGACAACACUCUCCGGCGUGCGCCGUCCGCCACCGCGUAUGCAUGGACCCCAUGCUCAGGAUAUGUCUGAAGAUGAUCGAGCAGGCCUAAGAUCAUAACAUAGAUUCUUUUUUUUAUGCAUAGCUGCUAGUGGAGUGAUGGAUAUUCUUUUCUAUGUACGUAGCUGCUAUUGGGAUGAUGCGGAAGAUGAUGCAUCUUCUUUUGCCAUGAGCAGAGAAGACAACACUAGCCAUCUUGUGUGCAUGGCCACACAGACACAGAGACGUCUAAUUGUAAUCAUCGUUAAUUAUAGUUGCGAUGUAUACACUGCAUACAUGAU